CCCCAACAAAGAUUAUUUGCCUCACAUAAGGGCUGCUCCCUUAGCUUGGAACCCAGGAUUAAGAAGGUAUACAGUAUAGAACCAUAGCCAAACCAAAGAUGACAGGUAAUGUUUUGUGAUUCAGGAGGUUUGAAAUGGACCGCAGAAAUGUCUACUUCAGCACAUCUCCAUACCUAGGAUCCUAAUGACAGUGACCCAUGGGCCAUGCUUAAGAAACACAACUUUAGUUUUUCGACUAUAACUCACCGGGAGGAACGUUAUCAGGCGCCAAAAGCCUUUUAAAACAGAGAACUCUGCUCGUGGAGUCACAUAUUCUGUUUUAUCUGUACAAGGAGAUUGGCUCAGGCAGCGCAUCUUUGCGACUGGUAAGAGAGUUCACCUGCAAGGAAUCAUUGUUUUCAUCCUAUAUUCAUGUCAAUAAAUCCAACUUCUCUACAGAAACUCUACUGAGUUGUGACUCCAGAGAAGAGGAAAGCCACCCAAGUCAUUUCACAGACCAGCCGAAAGAAGCCUCCCUGGGGAUGAGCUAACGAGGAGGAUUAGAUACAACUGUUCUCUGGCCAGGUGUCAAGACCCUGUUGGCAGAGGAACGGCAGAGACAUCUUGUGAAUUAUCUCCCAGUCACUGAUGCAAACCACUCAGAAUAAAUCAGGAUUGAAGAUUGAUUUCUACAAAAUUGCUUUAUUACUCAGGCUAGAGAUAUGUGAUACAAUACUCUCUCAUAAUGCUGAGCAGCGGCAAAGAGACACAGCUUCCAGACAUGUGAUCACCAAGGGAAACUGAUACUCAACAGUGUACUGUGCUGCCAGAUGAUUUUGUCCAAUUGUAGGCUAAUUUAAGUGUUCUAAGCACAUUUAAGGUAGGUCAGUAGGUUAGGUUUUUUAUUGUUUGUUUGUUUGUUUGUUUGUUGAGACAGGGUCACACUCCAUUGUCCAGGCUGGAGUCCAGUGGCACAAUCACAGCUCCCUGCAGGCUUGAUCUUCUGGUCUCAAGUGAUUUUCCCACCUCAGCCUCCCAAGCAGCUGGGACUAUAGGCACAUGCCACCACACCCAGCUAAUUUUUAUAUUUUUUUGUAGAGAUGGGGUUGCCCAGACUGGUCUCAAACUCCAGAGUCCAAGCCAUCUACCCACCUCAGCCUCCCA
rnacentral:lncRNA from 10 species